CACGUAGGGGGCGAGCGUUGUCCGGAAUUACUGGACGUAAAGGGAGCGUAGGCGGACUUUUAAGUGAGAUGUGAAAUACCCGGGCUCAACUUGGGUGCUGCAUUUCAAACUGGAAGUCUAGAGUGCAGGAGAGGAGAAUGGAAUUCCUAGUGUAGCGGUGAAAUGCGUAGAGAUUAGGAAGAACACCAGUGGCGAAGGCGAUUCUCUGGACUGUAACUGACGCUGAGGCACGAAAGCGUGGGGAGCAAACAGGAUUAGAUACCCCCGUAGUCCCU
rnacentral:rRNA from 1 species